UACAGAGGGUGCAAGCGUUGCUCGGAUUUACUGGGCGUAAAGGGCUCGUAGGCGGCCAACUAAGUCAUACGUGAAAUCCCUCAGCUUAACUGGGGAACUGCGUGUGAUACUGGAUGGCUUGGAUUUGGGAGAGGGAUGCGGAAUUCCAGGUGUAGCGGUGAAAUGCGUAGAUAUCUGGAGGAACACCGGUGGCGAAGGCGGCAUCCUGGACCAAUAUUGACGCUGAGGAGCGAAAGCCAGGGGAGCAAACGGG
rnacentral:rRNA from 1 species